UCGGGAAAGGCUGGAGGGGUCGGGAAAGGCUGGAGGGGUCGGGAAAAGCUGGAGGGGUCGGGAAAGGCUGGAGGGGUCGGGAAAGCCUGGAGGGGUCGGGAAAGGCUGGAGGGGUCGGGAAAGGCUGGAGGGGUCGGGAAAGGGGAGGCCGUGGUCGGUGAUGCCUUCAUCAUGGAAUAUCCACGUGGAGCUACAGGAUCUUAAAAUGGUAGGAUUGUGCCGAGAGAUUAGUCACUUUCACUUUUGUUCUGUUAAACUAUUUAUUCAGUGGCUUGGGAUUUAGUCAAACAUCAAAUAUUUAAGAGAGAAUAGAAUAGGAUUCCAAUAUGUGCUUCUGCGUGUGACUGGCCCAUGGAUUUUGUUGUAUUUAAACGAUUCUGUGAAAGUAUUCAGAAGAGAGCAGGUGGCGGGAGGGAUUUCAGCAGGGAUGAUAUUAAACAUAUCUAUCAGCUGCCAUGCCACUGCAUCGGCCACUCAGAAUGAAUCCAGCUCCCACUGUGGUGGACUCAGGUUGUAAGGAACCAGCGGGGCUCACUUGGUGGCACCAGCUGAGGGAUGAAGGAUGGCAUUGGGGGCUGAGAAGUGCUGGAUGGAGCACCUGGCUGCCAGGACUUAACACAGGCGACAGUGUAGACGUCCAGCGAGACAGCGGAGUGAAGCAUCCAUGGUCUGGCAUGAUCCUGUCUUUCAGCAGCCACAACUGAGGCUUUUCUUUGGAGACAGGGUCUGGCCCUGUCACCCAGGCUGCAGUGCGGUGGCAUGAUCACAGCUCAUUGCAGCCUUGACCUCCUGGGCUCAAGUGAUCCUCCUGCCUCAACCUCAUGAGCAGCUGGGAUCGCAGGCACACACCACCAGGCUUGGCUAAUUUUUUUUUCUUUUUUUUUUUUAGGGAUGAGGUCUCCCUAUGUUGCCCAGGCUGAUCUUGAACUUCUGGGCUCAAGCAAUCCUCCUGCCUCAGCCUCCCAAAGUGUGGGAUUACAGGCAUAAACCACCACGCUUGGCCCUCAAAUGAGUUUUAUAGGAGUCUGUAUUUUGUGCAUCUCCUGGAGAAAUAAUCGAGGGUCAUACAUGGACUUUUAAAGUUGGUUCCUCUCAAACAAUGGCAGCACUUCAAGGAGGGCCCAUUUCUGGGGUUGGUUUUAUUUAGGGCAACAAAUAAUAAAUUUAAUACAAAAAAGAAUUCUCAGGCACGUGCAGAGCAGGUGCUUCUGACGUGAGAAUCAUCUUGGGGUGAGGCAGAUGCAUUGGUGAUUUCACGUUGCCCAAGAGCUGCCAGUGAAAAUACGAAUACGUGGGAGGUUCUUCUGAGGAAGCUCAGUAAGGCAGCGAAGGAGCAGGCAAGGUCCUCAGCAGCAGACGUCUCUCUCCAGGCUGCUUUCCAGUAGCUUCCGAAGAAACCUCUCCUGCACAGGAAAUGGCAGAGAGGGAUGUACUGCAGUUUGCUGCCCUUGGUGGCCACAUGGAGGGUCUCCUGAGGAGAUGGUGGCCACGCAUUAACAGCCGGCUCCUAGGAGCCAGAAUAAAGCCCGCUUCGCUCUCGUACGGGGCCUGCUGGGCAGGGAGCAGCUCAGAGCUGAAUGCCGCAAGGUGUUGUCCUGGGAGCCAGGGUGGCUGCUGUCACGGCCACUGCUGCUGGCCACAGCCACCCUUCACUGUGCAGGAGCUGGGCGAGGGGAGGAAGCCCCAGGACUGGAGGAUCUGCCACAGCUUUUAGGGCAGGCCUCUGCCUGGUGCUCACAUCCCAGCUGGACACGGGGCGCCCAGCAUGGAUUUCUUUCAUAGAAUGAAUGACAGGACAUGUCAUGCGUUGAACUGUGUCCCCUAGAAGGAUGUGUUGACAGCCUCAUCCCGGAGCCUGUGACUCUGACCUUGGUCUUUGCAGUGGCCCCAAGUUCAGAUGAGGUCGUACAGAGGGAAGGUGGUCCUAAUACCAGGACGAUGUCUUUC
rnacentral:lncRNA from 1 species